rnacentral:rRNA from 1 species
GAUGAACGCUGGCGGCGUGCCUAAUACAUGCAAGUCGAGCGAACAGACGAGGAGCUUGCUCCUCUGACGUUAGCGGCGGACGGGUGAGUAACACGUGGAUAACCUACCUAUAAGACUGGGAUAACUUCGUGAAACCGGAGCUAAUACCGGAUAGUAUAUUGAACCGCAUGGUUCAAUAGUGAAAGACGGUUUUGCUGUCACUUAUAGAUGGAUCCGCGCCGCAUUAGCUAGUUGGUAAGGUAACGGCUUACCAAGGCAACGAUGCGUAGCCGACCUGAGAGGGUGAUCGGCCACACUGGAACUGAGACACGGUCCAGACUCCUACGGGAGGCAGCAGUAGGGAAUCUUCCGCAAUGGGCGAAAGCCUGACGGAGCAACGCCGCGUGAGUGAUGAAGGUCUUCGGAUCGUAAAACUCUGUUAUUAGGGAAGAACAAAUGUGUAAGUAACUAUGCACGUCUUGACGGUACCUAAUCAGAAAGCCACGGCUAACUACGUG